GAAUUUUGGACAAUGGGCGAAAGCCUGAUCCAGCAAUGCCGCGUGCAGGAUGAAGGCCUUCGGGUUGUAAACUGCUUUUGUACGGAACGAAAUGCUUUGGGUUAAUACCCUGGAGUCAUGACGGUACCGUAAGAAUCAGCACCGGCUAACUACGUGCCAGCCGCCGCGGUAAUACGUAGGGUGCAAGCGUUAAUCGGAAUUACUGGGCGUAAAGCGUGCGCAGGCGGUUUUGUAAGACAGAGGUGAAAUCCCCGGGCUCAACCUGGGAACUGCAUUUGUGACUGUAUAGCUAGAGUACGGUAGAGGGGGAUGGAAUUCCGCGUGUAGCAGUGAAAUGCGUAGAUAUGCGGAGGAACACCGAUGGCGAAGGCAAUCCCCUGGACCUGUACUGACGCUCAUGCACGAAAGCGUGGGGAGCAAACAGG
rnacentral:rRNA from 1 species